GGCGUGCUUAACACAUGCAAGUCGAACGAGAAAUCUUUANCUUGCUAGAGAAAGUAAAGUGGCGCACGGGUGAGUAACGCGUGGGUAAUCUGCCUCCGAAUCGGGGAUAACAUUGCGAAAGCGAUGCUAAUACCGGAUAAAAUCUGGUUGGCUUCGGUGAACCGGAUCAAAGGUGGUCUCUUUAUAAAAGCUACCGUUUGGAGAUGAGCUCGCGUACCAUUAGCUAGUUGGUGAGGUAAAGGCUCACCAAGGCGACGAUGGUUAGCUGGUCUGAGAGGAUGAUCAGCCACACCGGAACUGGAACACGGUCCGGACUCCUACGGGAGGCAGCAGUGAGGAAUUUUGCGCAAUGGGGGAAACCCUGACGCAGCAACGCCGCGUGAGUGAUGAAGGCUUUCGGGUCGUAAAGCUCUGUCAGGUGGGAAGAACCCACCAAGUGUUAAGACCACUUGGUGCUGACGGUACCACCGAAGGAAGCACCGGCUAACUCCGUGCCAGCAGCCGCGGUAAUACGGGGGGUGCGAGCGUUAUUCGGAAUCAUUGGGCGUACAGGGCGCGCAGGCGGUUUAGUAAGUCAGAUGUGAAAUCCCGGGGCUUAACCCCGGAAGUGCAUAUGAAACUAUGAGACUAGAGUAUGGGAGAGGGAAGCGGAAUUCCUGGUGUAGCGGUGAAAUGCGUAGAUAUCAAGAGGGACACCGGUGGCGAAUGCAGCUUCCUGGACCAA
rnacentral:rRNA from 1 species